GUAUUUAAGUCCUCAUUUUGCUUGUCUUCCCUGGACUGAGGAAGUAGAUCUGCAUCCUGGAUUUUGUGCAGAAAGAGUUGUCCAGUCAGCCUUUAUUCUUUAGCUUCUUUCAGAAUGUGGGAUAUUUCAAAUUCUCCUGGGGUCUGGAAUCAUGUUUAUUUUCAUUUCUAGAGUCCAAUUUGGAUGUCUAUGUCUACCUGGAAGAGCCUCAUCCACCUAGUCACAAAGCAUACGAACCAGGUUUGGGCUAUUCUCCAGGUGUUUCCUAUAUAAAUGGAUUUUUAAAAGCAAAUUUAAAAAGCACAAGUGUCAAGUAAUGGAUAAACAAUUAGAUGAUCAACCAGUGGAUGAUGGUGUAUAAAGUUUUCAUUGUGGAUAUGACAUGUUCCCAAAGCCAUUAUAAUUAAAGCAAGCUGUCCUGAACUUAACUUUAUCUCUGAAAAGAAGAACAUUCAAGUUUAAAAAGAGUUUCAAAACUCCAAGGCUUCUCAUAACACAAUAGUACUAUGAGGAGAUAAACAUGGCUUCCUUUCCCCC